rnacentral:lncRNA from 1 species
AUGGACGGUGUAAAGUUACCACAGACGCAGUUGUACCUCAGUGGCGACGCUGUUCACACAAGAUGUAACCUUAAAGACUGCUGGUUUUUGUGUCUUGCACCUCAUUCGCCUGCGUUCGUCUCUGUCGCGAUGGGCAACUAUAGCUCAGCCCUCCUUUCUGAAACUGAGGAGUUUGUUUCUAUUGUGUCAGUCACGGAGAAGCUGAAUGAGCAGGCAACGCUGAUGGAGCAGACGAUAAAGCAAAACCAGGAUGAAGCUCCGGGUUCUCUCCCACGUCAAGAAAACUCUCACCAAAACACAUGUGCUGCGCCUGCAGCAGAAUCCAGACGUGGGCCGACUCCUCCCCUCUCCUCUUUGUUGCCCAAGGUUUUCUCCGCCGUGCUGCAUCCAGCCUCGGCCCCAGUCACAGGCCCAGAGCCGAGCGCUAACCCACCGACCCUGGAACGGCUUCAGACGGAGCUCCAAGACCUGAGGGACCAGUUUGAACGGAUGAAGAGCCAGCACAACAAAGAAAUUAAACUGCUGAUGAACGAGUUGGAUGAAGAGAAAAGGAUUCGCUUGACUUUGCAGAUGGAGAUUCAGCGAAUGAAGAAGCACAUGUCGAAAUGA